UUCUGAUGUUGGUGCUGAUGGUGAUGAUGAUGGUGAUGUUGGUGGUGAUGGUUCCGGUGACGGUCACCGACUUCGUCAUCACCGUUAACCGAG